CGCUGUUCCCAGUGUCUCGCCCACCCCCGCGGGGCCCGUCCGACUCGACGGGUGAGCCCGUGGUUCCCGGCUCCGCACCGUCGCCUGCCUCUCUGCAGACCACCCCGGACCCGACCCCUCAGCCACUUCCCCACGCUGCCCCUUUCGCUUCCCCCAUGACGCGGGGCCUAGGACGAGGGUCUGGGCCAAGAGGAACUUCCCCGCAAGAAGUGCCGAGCUAAGGACGCUACUAAGGGGGCGGGAUCGCCACGUGGAGUUUUGUUUUAGGUGCUGUCUCUCCUGUUGUUGUUGUCCUUUACACGAUGGUGUUGCAAGAAAAUGGAUAUGGUGUUGAGGAAGACAUUCCAACAUUACUAAUGGCUGCUAGCAGUAUGGAUGACAUUCUGGCUAUCACUGGAUUCAAUACAUGCUUGAGCAUAGUCUUCUCCUCGGGUAAACAAGAAAAUAUAACAACCACCAGAUCAUUCAUGACCUUUUUUGCUGUGCUAGGUCCUCUGGCUCUAGAAACAGCAAGAGUCUCCGCACCCCACUUGGAACCAUAUGCGAAGGAUGUGAUGACAGUAGCAUUUUUAGCCAUCUCGAUCACAGCUCCAAAUGGAGCUCUACUUAUGGGCAUUCUGGGGCCUAAAAUGCUUACACACCAUUAUGAUCCAAGCAAAAUAAAACUGCAAUUGUCAACAUUAGAACAUCAUUAAA